GACGAACGCUGGCGGCGUGCUUAACACAUGCAAGUCGAACGGAAAGGCCCUGCUUUUGUGGGGUGCUCGAGUGGCGCACGGGUGAGUAACACGUGAGUAACCUGCCCUUGACUUUGGGAUAACAUCAGGAAACUGGGGCUAAUACAGGAUAGGAUAUCCUGCUGCAUGGUGGGGGUUGGAAAGUUUCGGCGGUUUGGGAUGGACUCGCGGCUUAUCAGCUUGAUGGUGGGGUAGUUGCUUACCAAGGGUGCGACGGGUAGCCGGCCUGAGAGGGUGACCGGCCACAUGGCGACUACGGGACGGACCAGACUCCUACGUGAGGCAGCAGGGGGGAAUAUGGCACAGUGGGCCGAAGUGUGAUGCAACAACGCCGCGUGCGUGAUGACGGCUUUCGGGUUGUAAACCGCUGUCGCCUGUGACGAAGCGGUAUUGACGGUAAUGGGUAAAGAAGCAACGGCUAACUACGUG
rnacentral:rRNA from 1 species